UUGGUGCCCUUGCUAUAGACCGACCCCUUGCCUCUUGUUUGUAGCACUGUUAAAUGCUUAACACACCGUAUUCCUGAAUUGUCCGGUUUGUAGUUAUCUCAGAGCUUAGCAUAUAUGUCAACAAAUGUUUGCAGAAUGAUCUUUCACUGGAAGUAGUGUAGUAGAGCUUGGCUAACUACAGAUGCUACAGUUACUAAGAUACAGAGAUUCUAUAGAAUGGACCUUUACAGUGGUUGAGGAAAGGGACCCUAUCAUUUGAAAUGUCCGCCAUAAACACUACCCAUCCCUUACAUUAAGGUACACGUAUUCAUGCCACGAAGGAAGCCACACUUGAUACAAGCGGACAGUGAUGGUUAUGCUCCCAUCUAACAUAGCUUGCUUACAUUUACGGCCAGACUGAUGUCCUACCUGAUGUGCACUCCAAGUAAAGGUGGUUAAUGUCGACCAGGA